GGUGUUGUGGCUCAGUGGUAGAGCACUUGCCUUGUAUGUAUGAGACACUGGGUUCAAUCCUCAGCACCA
rnacentral:tRNA from 1 species